rnacentral:snRNA from 1 species
ACAUAUACUAUGACACAUAUAAAAUUGGAAAGAUACAGAGAUUAGCAUGGCCUUUGUGCAAGGAUGACAC